AAAUCCUUGGGGAGAGGGAAGGGGAGAAAAUGUUAAGCCUGUUGGCUUUCUGGGUUUGUCCAACUUAAAUCUAGAAAUGACAGAAUGGCAGGGGUUGGAAAGGACCUCUGGAGAUCAUCGAGUCCAACUUCUCUACCAAAGCAGGAUCACCCAGCGCAGGCCACACAGGAAUGCAUCCAGAUAAAAUCAGUGUCUAAAUGGAAAAGGAUUCUCCACACCUCUCGGAGUGCUCUGGUGAGCAGAAGACUUCCAGGCUAUGUUCACUGGGAAGCUGCUGACCAUUGGUGAUUGCAGUAACAGCAGCAGUGCAUUCUCAGCAAUUAGAAGACUGCUACAAGAAAUGAUGAAAGAAUAAACCUGGCUGGACACCCUUUCAGUAGCUGUGUCCCACUCAGGGCUGCCAAUAGGUAGUAAAAUAUAAAUGACUUAUAAAAAAAAAGACAGUAAUACAU